rnacentral:rRNA from 1 species
AACGAACGCUGGCGGCAGGCCUAACACAUGCAAGUCGAGCGAGGACUUCGGUUCUAGCGGCGGACGGGUGAGUAACGCGUGGGAAUGUGCCCUUCUCUACGGAAUAGCCCUGGGAAACUGGGAGUAGUACCGUAUACGCCCUAUUGGGGAAAGAUUUAUCGGAGAAGGAUCAGCCCGCGUUGGAUUAGGUAGUUGGUGGGGUAAUGGCCUACCAAGCCGACGAUCCAUAGCUGGUUUGAGAGGAUGAUCAGCCACACUGGGACUGAGACACGGCCCAGACUCCUACGGGAGGCAGCAGUGGGGAAUCUUAGACAAUGGGGGCAACCCUGAUCUAGCCAUGCCGCGUGAGUGAUGAAGGCCUUAGGGUUGUAAAGCUCUUUCAGCUGGGAAGAUAAUGACGGUACCAGCAGAAGAAGCCCCGGCUAACUCCGUG